rnacentral:sRNA from 1 species
GAGGUUCGACUCGAGCGAAACGAGAGAACGUUGCGUUAGCAACGGCCCGCAGGGCGAGUCACGCAGUGGCGAGUCAUCCUCUAUCACCGGCAG